UACAGAGGUCCCGAGCGUUGUUCGGAUUCACUGGGCGUAAAGGGUGCGUAGGUGGUGGGGUAAGUCGGAUGUGAAAGCUCGGAGCUCAACUCCGAAAUGGCAUUGGAAACUACCCUGCUGGAGGUUUUGGGAGGGGGGGACUGGAAUACUUGGUGUAGCAGUGAAAUGCGUAGAUAUCAAGUGGAACACCAGUGGCGAAGGCGAGUCCCUGGACAAAACCUGACACUGAGGCACGAAAGCUAGGGGAGCAAACAGG
rnacentral:rRNA from 1 species